rnacentral:rRNA from 1 species
GCAGAUCCAAUUUUCUGCCACCGAAUACAUUAGCAUGGGAUAAUGGAAUAGGACCCUGUCCUCCUAUUUUCAGUUGGUUUUGGCAGCGCGAGGACUAGGGUAAUGAUUAAUAGGGAUAGUUGGGGGCAUUAAUAUUUAAUUGUCAGAGGUGAAAUUCUUGGAUUUAUGAAAGAUUAACUUCUGCGAAAGCAUCUGCCAAGGAUGUUUUCAUUAAUCAAGAACGAAAGUUAGGGGAUCGAAGACGAUCAGAUACCGUCGUAGUCUUAACCAUAAACGAUGCCGACCAGCGAUUAGGAGACGUUGAAUACAAAACACCACCAUCGGUUGCGGUCAUCCUUGGCGUCUCGGUUUCGGCCGGGGCGCGGGGAUGGCUUAGCCCGGUGGCACCGGUGAAUGACUCCCCUAGCAGCUUGUGAGA